GACGAACGCUGGCGGCGUGCUUAACACAUGCAAGUCGAACGGAAAGGCCCUGCUUUUGUGGGGCGCUCGAGUGGCGAACGGGUGAGUAACACGUGAGUAACCUGCCCUUGACUUUGGGAUAACUUCAGGAAACUGGGGCUAAUACCGGAUAGGAGCUCCUGCUGCAUGGUGGGGGUUGGAAAGUUUCGGCGGUUGGGGAUGGGCUCGCGGCUUAUCAGCUUGUUGGUGGGGUAGUGGCUUACCAAGGCUUUGACGGGUAGCCGGCCUGAGAGGGUGACCGGCCACAUUGGGACUGAGAUACGGCCCAGACUCCUACGGGAGGCAGCAGUGGGGAAUAUUGCACAAUGGGCGGAAGCCUGAUGCAGCAACGCCGCGUGCGGGAUGACGGCCUUCGGGUUGUAAACCGCUUUCGCCUGUGACGAAGCGUGAGUGACGGUAAUGGGUAAAGAAGCACCGGCUAACUACGUG
rnacentral:rRNA from 1 species